UACGUAGGGGGGCAAGCGUUGUCCGGAUUUAUUGGGCGUAAAGAGCGUGUAGGCGGCCUGACAGGUCUGCUGUGAAAACUCGAGGCUCAACCUCGAGAUGUCGGCGGAAACCGUCUGGCUAGAGUCCGGAAGAGGAGAGUGGAAUUGCCUGGUGGUAGCGGUGAAAUGCGCAGAUGAAUCGGGAACGAAGCACCCGUGGGCGAAGGCGGUUCCUCUGGGACGGUACUGACGA
rnacentral:rRNA from 1 species